rnacentral:rRNA from 1 species
CGUGCUUAACACAUGCAAGUCGAACGGAGCACCCUUGAUUGAGGUUUCGGCCAAAUGAUAGGAAUGCUUAGUGGCGGACUGGUGAGUAACGCGUGAGGAACCUGCCUUUCAGAGGGGGACAACAGUUGGAAACGACUGCUAAUACCGCAUGACGCAUUUUGAUCGCAUGGUCGAAAUGCCAAAGAUUUAUCGCUGAAAGAUGGACCCGCGUCUGAUUAGCUGGUUGGUGAGGUAACGGGCCCACCAAGGCGACGAUCAGUAGCCGGCCUGAGAGGGUGAACGGCCACAUUGGGACUGAGACACGGCCCAAACUCCUACGGGAGGCAGCAGUGGGGAAUAUUGCACAAUGGGGGAAACCCUGAUGCAGCAACGCCGCGUGAGUGAAGAAGUAUUUCGGUAUGUAAAGCUCUAUCAGCAGGAAAGAAAAUGACGGUACCUGACUAAGAAGCCCCGGCUAACUACGUG